rnacentral:rRNA from 1 species
UACGGAGGGGGCUAGCGUUGUCCGGAAUCAUUGGGCGUAAAGCGCGUGUAGGCGGUUCGGUAAGUCCGCUGUGAAAGUCGGGGGCUCAACCCUCGAAUGCCGGUGGAUACUGUCGGACUAGAGUACGGAAGAGGCGAGUGGAAUUCCUGGUGUAGCGGUGAAAUGCGCAGAUAUCAGGAGGAACACCAAUUGCGAAGGCAGCUCGCUGGGACGUUACUGACGCUGAGACGCGAAAGCGUGGGGAGCAAACAGG